UUUAAAGCAAUCUCUGUUUCUCAGAGCUCUGUGAAAACUUCAGCUAUGAUGUGACUAUCUCCAUCAUUAGAGAAGCUCUGGCAUAGAUAGAUUUUUUAAAAGUUAGUACAAUCUUUUCUUUGUUCCUUCUUCAUGGCAGGAAUUCAUCCCAAACCAGGAAUGCUGCUGGGGACUGUCGCUCCCCUCAGAAUUUGCUUUGUUCUCCAACACGAACGACCAAAGCCAAGAAGGAUCUUUCACAGGUGUUUUUGGCUCUUUUUUUUUGCUAAAAAAAACAGCUGGAUGGCACUCAAGUGCGAUCAAAUAGUCCUGUCCUGAAUAAUUUCCUUGUUUCUGUUUCACCUAUGGAUUUUCUGUAGAGGUGCAUCCAUUUCCAAACCAAGCUCUAUUCAAAAUGCAACUGAGAAAGAACAAGUUUACAAAGCAGCUCAGCUUGUGCCACCCUUAACAUUUCCCCUGACCUCUGAGACUACUUAAACUUCUCAUAAGUGGUGACAAUCACACCCAGUGAUGGUUGGGCAUGGAAGUCAUGGAAGUCAGAUUGCUGCUGCAGAAAGAAUUGUUUCCAGCCAGGACAGAGGCAACAGACAACAGCAGUGCCACCAGAAAAGCAAGAGCAACAAAGGGAAUGAUGGCCAGGAGGUCUGACAGUGAAGCCACCAGACUGGCAGUGGCAUUUGAUACAGCCCUGUGACAAUCCCCAGCUCCAAAUCUGGACUCCAGCACAGCCCAUCCAACAAGAGGUGUUUCAGCCACUUACAGCUUGUUUUAGGGUAAGGCUGCUGUGUUAACCUGAGCUUUGGGUGACCUCUCACGAUGCCAUCUCCACAAUCUGCAUUUUUAUCCAAAAUCUCAGGGCAGCCUCUCCCUUUGCUGGCUGCCAGGUCACUGGGUGUCACAGCACCCUCCAGGACAAAGCCUGACUUGAGGCACUUCAGCUUUCAUUUUGUUCCAGCUGUCUCAUUCCAAAACUAAUAUUUAGAAUUGUAUUAUUAUCAAUCAAAAUACUGACAAAUUUAUGUUGUGAUCAUAUUGACAUCUACUUUGCACAAACAACAGGGUUUGGUGGUAUGAAUCUUACACCUUGUUCAUACCCCUAGGUUGUUCUGGAGCUUCAUUAUUCAGGCCCCUGUUCCACUGUUCCUCUUGUAUAACUUCAGGUACCCAAUUGAAAUCAACUUAUUUUGUAUGGUUCUCUCAUUAGAAUAUGGGGAGACAAAGCAUAAAAGAUAAAACCAAUCUAAAAAACCCAGCAAAAUACCAGCUAACAAUCAUUCCAUGGCAUGAAAGUAAAAUCACAUUAUGAUCUGGAAGAAGAAGAAAGUGCAAAUAGGAUUUCAGUGGAUAAAUACAAUAAUGGUUACCAUUCUCAUGCAAGAGCAAAAUUCCAGGAACAGCUGAGUACAAAUUAGUAUUCUUUUCUUCCAUCUACAAGUACUUACAGCCAAAGAAGUGGAUCCUGCAAACAGAACACAUUAGAUCCUUCUGGGCUCCCAGUGAUGGUUUCCCAAAGCAGAAAAGAUUAAGUUAACAGCACAAACAUGGGGAAGCUCUGGAGGCAUCAAUAAACACAUAAUACAGUAUUUUUUGCAGUUAUUCAUAGAUCAAAAUUUAUUUUUUAAUACAACUCCUAAACUUGCUUUAAAAGUAUGUGAUGAGUUCCAGGGAAAGAACAGAACAACAGAAGUUUUCAGCCCAGAUAAGCUAAAAUUAAGGUAAAAUCUAUUUGCAAUACCCACUGCUAAGCAAUUAAGUGUUCAGCAUGACUCUCAUUUAUUGAAUAAUUUUAUAGAUUGAUAACUGAGGAGAAAAGCAGAAAUCAGAGCAAAACUUUGUUUACUCUGAUUUAUUAAACAUUAAAAAGAUGGUGGUUGUUACCAAUGACAUGGAAGCCUUCCCUGGCUGUAAGUCACCCUAAGAUUGGAUCUGUGCUAAUACAAUUUCAAGGAAACAUCCUCUGCUGUGAUCUCCAAACAGAGGCCAAACACACGCUACACAUCCUCUUUUAUGCUCCUCACAAUAUUAGCCCAAUUUGCAGAACAAACACAUUGAACCCUCAGCCCCGGGGCCGUGACCCGUGAAUAACACCGCUAAUGGGAUUGUGCUCGGCACAAAACUCCCGCUGGAUGUGACGGGAGCCCUGCACCUCCUGCCUCCUUCCCACAGCCCCUCUGCCAUCCUCUCCUCCGAAAGGCACCCGAGGGAGGGAGGGAGCCCCAGCAAUGCCUGAGCCACCAAGUUGCUUUGAGCUGCCUUUUCUGUCUUUAGCAGAGGUGGAAAUGAGAUUUUUUUUACAGUUCUAAAUGGUGUGGCCAUGCUGAAGGGGUCCAGGCUCAGCAGAGUGAGGAGGUUGUGCCAUUCUGAGUUUUCUAUGCCUUAUACUGCUUUGCAAUCCCACUCAAAUACUGUCCUCUAGCUCCACUUGGACUUGGCUGUUAAAUCUUCAAGUUAACAACAUUUGCCAUCAAAAUCAGAACCUUAUCAUCAGCUUCUCCCCUUGUUUCCUUUCUUCCCAAAAGCAGCACCAGGUUAUUGUAUCCAGAGGCUGUUGCAGGGAAAACUGUAGAAGCCCUGAAGCUGGGAAAACAUUUGAUGCUUGUCCUAACAUGGAGAACCUGAUGCCCUCAAAGUUUAUUUGAGUCUAUAUAUUUAUCAAGCUGUGGCAGCUCCCAAAAUCACAUGAGGAGAAGAACAAAUAGAGAGUGUGAUAUGAAAAAACUCCAGGAUGGGAUCCCAGGACUGAGCAGGAAGGAGAGCUGCCACUGGUGACUGCAACAUCUCUGAGCUCAGCAGAAAACCACAGAGAGCUUCACUGGGAGCCUCCAGGUACCCUUUUGUUCCUGCCCCUUGGGCACCGUGGAGGUGACACGGUCUGGAGCUCAGUGGCCUGGCACAGGGGGACAGCCAGGUUUUCCUGGGUCUCCAAAGGAGGUGACUUGAAGAUGAUCUGGAGGCAUCAUCCUGUUUGUCAACUUGACAUCAGGUUAAGGGGGGGCAUUUCCUCCUGUUCUGCACUGGGGAGGCCAUGGCUGGGCACUGGGACAAGUUUGGGGUCCAAGGCAUCUCCAAAGCAAAGCAAGCCUGGGGACAGCCUGGCAGGGGUGGGUGGCAGCCAGGGAAAGCAAGGAGAGGCAAAGGGGGAUCCAAUGGCCUCUCCUUCUCCUCACAGACAUCCUGGGGACAUUUGGGAUGGGCUCUGCUCGGUGGGGCGCAGCUGCAUGACGGGAAGCCCCAGCCAGACCCAAGGAAACAAUUCUUAUUCUUACAAGUUCACUCUUAGCCCCUUGCCUCAAGAAAUCUGCCUCUUCCCAGCCUCUGCCAUGCUGUAAGCUCAGUCCUGAGUGCUGGCAGAGCCAUUCCCUCCCAUUUUUCCAGGAUUUCAGCAUGUUGCUUGCAGAAUAAACCUGCAGGCAGAAUGAAUGCAGGGAGCAUCCGCAAGGUAAUCUCUCUUGAAAACUGGAGCUAAUCAGGCUUCCCUGAGUCACUGCAGAGCCACAGCACUGCUAAAAUCCCACCUUGGUGCUGCUGAUUUCCCAGAGCAAGGCUUUCUCUGCCAACUCCUGCCUGGAGAGGUAACUGAGUUUUAAUGACUCCAUAAUGAAUGCCUUUUGGGCUGCUGGACCUGCCCGAGCACGCAGGCUCCGUCUGCAGGGAGGAGGAU